rnacentral:rRNA from 1 species
UACAGAGGGGGCAAGCGUUAAUCGGAAUUACUGGGCGUAAAGCGUGCGUAGACGGUUAUUUAAGUCAGGUGUGAAAGCCCCGGGCUCAACCCGGGAAGUGCAUUUGAUACUGCGAAGCUUGAGUGCUAGAGAGGUUACUAGAAUACCUGGUGUAGUGGUGAAAUGCGUAGAUAUCAAGUGGAACACCAGUGGCGAAGGCGAGUCCCUGGACAACUCCUGACACUGAGGCACGAAAGCUAGGGGAGCAAACAGG